CAGCAGCCGCGGGAAUACAGAGGGUGCGAGCGUUAAUCGGAUUUACUGGGCGUAAAGCGUGCGUAGGCGGCUUCUUAAGUCGGAUGUGAAAUCCCUGAGCUUAACUUAGGAAUUGCAUUCGAUACUGGGAAGCUAGAGUAUGGGAGAGGAUGGUAGAAUUCCAGGUGUAGCGGUGAAAUGCGUAGAGAUCUGGAGGAAUACCGAUGGCGAAGGCAGCCAUCUGGCCUAAUACGGACGCUGAGGUACGAAAGCAUGGGGAGCAAACAGGAUUAGAUACCCCUGUAGUCCCUGUCUCUUAUAA
rnacentral:rRNA from 1 species